GAUGAACGCUGGCGGCGUGCCUAAUACAUGCAAGUCGAGCGAACAGACGAGGAGCUUGCUCCUCUGACGUUAGCGGCGGACGGGUGAGUAACACGUGGAUAACCUACCUAUAAGACUGGGAUAAAUUCGGGAAACCGGAGCUAAUACCGGAUAAUAUAUUGAACCGCAUGGUUCAAUAGUGAAAGACGGUUUUGCUGUCACUUAUAGAUGGAUCCGCGCCGCAUUAGCUAGUUGGUAAGGUAACGGCUUACCAAGGCAACGACGCGUAGCCGACCUGAGAGGGUGAUCGGCCACACUGGAACUGAGACACGGUCCAGACUCCUACGGGAGGCAGCAGUAGGGAAUCUUCCGCAAUGGGCGAAAGCCUGACGGAGCAACGCCGCGUGAGUGAUGAAGGUCUUCGGAUCGUAAAACUCUGUUAUUAGGGAAGAACAAAUGUGUAAGUAACUAUGCACGUCUUGACGGUACCUAAUCAGAAAGCCACGGCUAACUACGUG
rnacentral:rRNA from 1 species